UACGUAGGGUCCGAGCGUUGUCCGGAAUUACUGGGCGUAAAGAGCUCGUAGGUGGUUUGUCGCGUUGUUCGUGAAAACUCACAGCUUAACUGUGGGCGUGCGGGCGAUACGGGCAGACUUGAGUACUGCAGGGGAGACUGGAAUUCCUGGUGUAGCGGUGGAAUGCGCAGAUAUCAGGAGGAACACCGGUGGCGAAGGCGGGUCUCUGGGCAGUAACUGACGGCUGAGGAGCGAAAGCGUGGGGAGCGAACAGG
rnacentral:rRNA from 1 species